UCGGGAAUUUUGGGCAAGGGGCGAAAGCCUGACCCAGCAACGCCGCGUGAGGGAUGAAGUAUUUCGGUAUGUAAACCUCGAAAGAAUGGGAAGAAUAAAUGACGGUACCAUUUAUAAGCUCCGGCUAACUACGUGCCAGCAGCCGCGGUAAUACGUAGGGAGCAAGCGUUGUUCGGAUUUACUGGGCGUAAAGGGCGCGUAGGCGGCGCGGUAAGUCACUUGUGAAAUCUCUGAGCUUAACUCAGAACGGCCAAGUGAUACUGCUGUGCUAGAGUGCGGAAGAGGCAACCGGAAUUCUUGGUGUAGCGGUGAAAUGCGUAGAUAUCAAGAGGAACACCUGAGGCGAAGGCGGGUUGCUGGGCCGACACUGACGCUGAUGCGCGAAAGCCAGGGGAGCAAACG
rnacentral:rRNA from 1 species